AGAACGAACGCUGGCGGCAUGCCUAACACAUGCAAGUCGAACGCGUGUAGCGAUACACGAGUGGCGGACGGGUGAGUAACGCGUGGGAACCUGCCCUGGAGUGUGGGAUAACCGAGGGAAACUUCGGCUAAUACCGCAUACGACCUGAGGGUGAAAGAUUUAUCGCUCUAGGAGGGGCCCGCGUCGGAUUAGCUAGUUGGUGGGGUAAAGGCCUACCAAGGCAGUGAUCCGUAGCUGGUCUGAGAGGAUGAUCAGCCACACUGGGACUGAGACACGGCCCAGACUCCUACGGGAGGCAGCAGUGGGGAAUAUUGGACAAUGGGGGCAACCCUGAUCCAGCAAUGCCGCGUGAGUGAUGAAGGCCUUAGGGUUGUAAAGCUCUUCGCGCGCGACGAUGAUGACGGUAGCGCGAGAAGAGCCCCGGCUAACUUCGUGCCAGCAGCCGC
rnacentral:rRNA from 1 species